AGGCAUCAAAAUCAUCGGGCGAGCAAAAAACAAAAGGAUCAUUUGGAGAAACCUCUAAAACUAAAGUCAUCUUUACGCCCGGUAAUGAAGUUUUGAUUGGUUUCAGAUCCAGCCAGGACAUGGUCAUCACGUGGUAAUUAAACAAAUAAAAAUCGUAAUUUGUUGGAAUAGCCCGAUUGUCCAGGCUUAUUUCCAUAUAGUCGAGUGAGUAUUUCUGAGAGCCUAAAAGACAUUGAAAAACCAUUCUGCCGGAUUCAAAGAUACUGUCCUGGGCUUCGACACAAUUAAUAAAAAGCCCACUUAGUUUUUGUGAGUUCAUAUAUUCUUUAAACUGACUUUUUUAGUACGAGUGUCGCAAAAGUAUAAUUUACUCCCUCAUACCAAAAAUCUGGAUUUGGGCAAUCCCAUUGAGGC
rnacentral:misc_RNA from 1 species